rnacentral:rRNA from 1 species
UGGGGAAUAUUGGACAAUGGGCGAAAGCCUGAUCCAGCCAUGCCGCGUGUGUGAAGAAGGUCUUCGGAUUGUAAAGCAAUUUAAGUUGGGAGGAAGGGCAUUAACCUAAUACGUUAGUGUUUUGACGUUACCGACAGAAUAAGCACCGGCUAACUCUGUGCCAGCAGCCGCGGUAAUACAGAGGGUGCAAGCGUUAAUCGGAAUUACUGGGCGUAAAGCGCGCGUAGGUGGUUUGUUAAGUUGGAUGUGAAAUCCCCGGGCUCAACCUGGGAACUGCAUUCAAAACUGACUGACUAGAGUAUGGUAGAGGGUGGUGGAAUUUCCUGUGUAGCGGUGAAAUGCGUAGAUAUAGGAAGGAACACCAGUGGCGAAGGCGACCACCUGGACUAAUACUGACACUGAGGUGCGAAAGCGUGGGGAGCAAACA